GACGAACGCUGGCGGCGUGCUUAACACAUGCAAGUCGAACGGAAAGGCCCUGCUCUUGUGGGGUGCUCGAUUGGCGAACGGGUGAGUAACACGUGUGUAACCUGCCCUUGACUGUGGGAUAACUUCAGGAAACUGGGGCUAAUACCGGAUAGGAGCUACUGCUGCACGGUGGGGGUUGGUGAGUUUCGGCGGUUGGGGAUGGUCUCGCGGCUUAUCCGCUGGUUGGUGGGGUAGUGGCUGACAAAGGCUUUGACGGGUAGCCGGCCUGAGAGGUGGACCGGCCACAAUGGUACUGCGAGACGCAGCAGACGCGUACGUUACGCAGCGGGCGGGAGUCUUGCACAGUAGGGGGGAGCCUGAUGCGGCAGCGCCCCGUUCGGGAUGCCGUCCUACGGGUUGUAAACCACUUUCUACUGUGACGUGGAGUGAUUGACGGUACCGAGUCAAGAAGCACCGGCUAACUACGUG
rnacentral:rRNA from 1 species